rnacentral:rRNA from 1 species
AACGAACGCUGGCGGCAUGCCUAACACAUGCAAGUCGAACGAAGCCUUCGGGCUUAGUGGCGCACGGGUGCGUAACGCGUGGGAAUCUGCCCUUUGGUUCGGAAUAACAGUUGGAAACGACUGCUAAUACCGGAUGAUGACGAAAGUCCAAAGAUUUAUCGCUAGAGGAUGAGCCCGCGUAGGAUUAGCUGGUUGGUGUGGUAAAGGCGCACCAAGGCGACGAUCCUUAGCUUGUCUGAGAGGAUGAUCAGCCACACUGGGAGUGGGACACGGCAGAGACUUGUAAGGGAGGCAGCAGUGGGGAAUAUUGGACAAUGGGGGAAGGCCUGGUCCAGCAAUGCCGCGUGAGUGAUGAAGGCCUUAGGGUUGUAAGGCUCUUUUACCCGGGAUGAUAAUGACAGUACCGGGAGAAUAAGCCCCGGCUAACUCCGUGCCAGCCGCCGCCGUAA